CCUACGGGAGGCAGCAGUGGGGGAUAUUGCACAAUGGGGGAAACCCUGAUGCAGCGACGCCGCGUGGGUGAAGAAGGGCCUCGGCGCGUAAAGCCCUGUCAGCAGGGAAGAAAAUGACGGUACCUGAAGAAGAAGCCCCGGCUAACUACGUGCCAGCAGCCGCGGUAAUACGUAGGGGGCAAGCGUGAUCCGGAUUUACGGGGUGUAAAGGGGGCGCAGACGGCGAUGCAAGCCAGGAGUGAAAGCCCGGGGCCCAACCCCGGGACUGCUCUUGGAACUGCGGGGCUAGAGUGCAGGAGGGGCAGGCGGAAUUCCUGGUGUAGCGGUGAAAUGCGUAGAUAUCAGGAGGAACACCGGUGGCGAAGGCGGCCUGCUGGACUGCAACUGACGUUGAGGCCCGAAAGCGUGGGGAGCAAACAGGAUUAGAUACCCCAGUAGUC
rnacentral:rRNA from 1 species